UUCUAAGAAUUCUAAUCAUUUUCUAAUUAAAUGCUAAAAGGGAAUUAAUCAAAGUCUAAAGUUUAAUCACACUAAAAACCCUACUUAAUCCUAAUUAACUAAUCAAGGUUUAAUAUUCCUAAAAUUCUAAAAUAAUACUAAUGAUCUAGUUAGCCUAACCCUGUUAAACUAAUCUAACCAAACACCAAAAAGAACAACCCAAAAAGCUGGAAAAUGGGCCUUAAUGGCG
rnacentral:lncRNA from 1 species